CAACUGACUCGUUUUUCUUUCCCCUAAGAUAAUCACAUCCUAUAUUAAAUUCGACCCUUGUUGCUCUGCCGGUUUUGAUAAACAAAGAUAAAUGAGACACGAGGAAGCAGACAUGGUCUGUAUACGCCGGUCGAACUGCGCAGGACCGCAAUGACAGGCCAACGCCAUAAUGGAAGGAGUGACAACAUGGUAACGGGGUGGGAUUUACCCCACCUCCGACGCCACGACUUAAUCAUCUGAAGCAAAUAAGGGCAUUGUACAGCCUGAAGUACACAGCCCCACUAGAUUUACGAUGCAGCACUCCUAGGACACGGGUGAUCAACAAAGUGCUUUGAAGUGUUAUCAUUUAAUGUCACAAUUUUCCAUGGAAACUCAGAGGGCAGCAAAAGUGGGUUACCAACCCAGGAUGAGAGUCUACAAGAGAACUGAGAAAAAAAUUUAGGCUGAAAGAACUCAAAGCUGGG